CAGAUUUUUCUCUACAUUGUAUUGAGGAAAGAGGAGCCAGAUGCCAGCUCUGCAGUGAUGGGUAAACUAAAGGAGCUUAUAAAAAUGGAAACCUAAACUUCCAAGUUACAGAGUUAAAGAAACUGUCCAUGGGAUGGGUGGUAUAGGUUGUUCCAUG